GAUGAACGCUGGCGGCGUGCCUAAUACAUGCAAGUCGAGCGAACGGACGAGAAGCUUGCUUCUCUGAUGUUAGCGGCGGACGGGUGAGUAACACGUGGAUAACCUACCUAUAAGACUGGGAUAACUUCGGGAAACCGGAGCUAAUACCGGAUAAUAUUUUGAACCGCAUGGUUCAAAAGUGAAAGACGGUCUUGCUGUCACUUAUAGAUGGAUCCGCGCUGCAUUAGCUAGUUGGUAAGGUAACGGCUUAUCAAGGCAACGAUGCAUAGCCGACCUGAGAGGGUGAUCGGCCACACUGGAACUGAGACACGGUCCAGACUCCUACGGGAGGCAGCAGUAGGGAAUCUUCCGCAAUGGGCGAAAGCAUGACGGAGCAACGCCGCGUGAGUGAUGAAGGUCUUCGGAUCGUAAAACUCUGUUAUUAGGGAAGAACAUAUGUGUAAGUAACUGUGCACAUCUUGACGGUACCUAAUCAGAAAGCCACGGCUAACUACGUG
rnacentral:rRNA from 1 species